AAAUUGAGAGACCAUUAGCAAGACUGGCCAAAUCACGUGCCUAAUCUUUGUGUUUGCAUAGAAUUUGUGUCCACAAAAUGCUUUUUUACUUAUGUUCUUCCGGUUGUUCCUCCCACCAGCCGGGGAACCGGAAGCAGGGAAGGGUUCGUGGCCGUUUUGCAAGUGGGGAGUCCGAGACUCACUCAGAGUCUCCCAGUCCCGAGGGCAGAGCCCGCACAAAAUCGGUCAAGCUCUGAGUCCUGCUCUCGUGCUCUCUUGCCCCUUCUUCCUUCCCUCCUCUCUUGUACCGUCCACCAAACAGCUCCUACACUUCUGCCCUUGCCUGUGGCCCAUUAACUGAAUCGUCACUCGCUCAGCAAAAACUGUGCUAAACCCAGCGGAGACUGCUCUUUCUCAGGCUUCACUUCCCAAGCCAUCUGGUCCCCCGGACUUUCCCCAAAACAGAUGCGAGAGUUUGCAGGUUGUCAUCAAUCUUGGCUGUCGCUUGGAAGUCCAGCUGACCCCACAGCGCCAAGCUGCCAUAAAUGUUCUUUUUCCUCAGCAAGUACCUGUGUAUUAACCUUAACGUCACACGAACCACCUGAAAAACUUGCAGCUUCCCUUGAUUUCUCUAGCAUGGACAGUCAGCUGAGAAAUGGCCCUGGAAGCCAAGGCUUUCCUGUGGAUUGGCUCAGGGAAGAGCAUCUUACUUAGAGCUUGCUCUGCCCUGGGUGAAGGGGCAGAAGCAGCAACCUCCACAGCCCCCAGCUCAGGGUUCAAAGCCUGUCGACCACCCCCACCCGGUCCUCUCUCUCUAGUCUAGCCUCCCUUUGCAAAUGUUGCCAUCUAAAUGCCUUAUAUGGUUAGAAUUAUAUCAUACGUAACCUUUUGGAAGUGGCUUUUUUCUACUCAGCCUAAUUCCCUGGAGAUUCAUCCAAGUCAUGAUAACUGAUUUUUAUUUUUGUUUAUUUUCUAACUCCAUAUGCCUCGGGAGCGGCCCAAGAAAAGGCAAAAAGACAAAAAAACAAACAAAACAAAACAGAAAAACCCUCAAUCAGGUCCUACAAAAAGAAUAGUCCAAUGAAUGGCGAGGUUUGACAGGAAGCUAUUUGAAAUAUUUUCAGGACCGGUUAGGUGAUUUGUGAGAGCCAAUACAAGAUGAAAGAGUGGGCUCCUUUGUUAUAAAAGUUAUUAAGAAUUUCAAGAGGAUGAUGACAGAGCCAUGAACAAAUGUGGGACCCUUCUGAGCACAGACCACUAACCCAUGGAGCAGCCGUGAGUAUCGUCAUGUAAAAGCGACAGACUUGCUCUGAGACUGUGGUGAUGGCAGCAGCAAGGUGAACAAGUUCGAGGUGACCGAGAGGUGAUGACAUUGGGGGCCAUUAUCAGGAUGAAGAAGGCAGCGUUUGGAAGGGGGGUGAGCAGGAAACAUCGGAAUGGGUCAAGAGUCAGAGCAGCAGCAAGAGGAAGGCUGUAGUCUCUGGGCCAGAGCAUCCCUUGCAGGACAUCUACACUGUCUUGUACCCCCGGAGACCCCAGGGCAUCCCACCCUCUCUCAGAGCUUGAACAGAAUAUUAACCAGAUUGGUACCUUUGUCUGUAUGGAGCAGUCCUGGAGGUCAGGCAGUAACAUGUCCCUUGUAUCUGACGGGCCACAGAGACUUCUGUCUCUUCAAAUAAGGGAUUAAUCAUUUAUUUAUUAAAAAAAAAUUUUUUUUUUUUUUUUUUUUUUUGUCUUUUUGCUAUUUCUUGGGCUGCUUCCGCGGCAUAUGGAGAUUUCCAGGCUAGGGGUCCAGUCGGAGCUGUAGCCACCGGCCUACACCAGAGCCACAGCAACGUGGGAUCCGAGCUGUGUCUGCAACCUACACCACAGCUCACGGCAACGCCAGAUCCUUAACCCACUGAGCAAGGGCAGGGAUCGAACCCGAGACCUCAUGGUUCCUAGUCGGAUUCGUUAACCACUGUGCCACAACGGGAACUCCAAAAAAAAAAUUUUUUUUUUUAAAGGGAGUUACAGAGCUCCUGUUAUGGCUCAGCAUGUUAAGAACCUGACUAGUGGUCCAUCCCUGGCCUGGCUCAGUGGAUUAAGGAUCUGGCAUUCCCGCAAGCUGAGGAUAGGUUGCAGAUGUGGCUCAAAUCUGGUGUGGCUGUCUAUGGCUGUGGUGCUGGCCUGCAGCUGCAGCUCCAAUUUGACCCCUAGCCUGAGAACUUCCAUAUGCCAUGGGUGUAGCCCUAAAAAAAAAAAAGAGUUCCCUAGUGGCCUCAUUGUUUCAGGAUCUGCUAUUUUCACUGCCAUGGCUCAGGUGGCUGCUGUGGCAUGGGUUUGAUCCCUGGCCUGGGA
rnacentral:lncRNA from 1 species